AUUGAACGCUGGCGGCGUGCUUAACACAUGCAAGUCGAUCGGUAACGCGGGGGCAACCCUGGCGACGAGAGGCGGACGGGUGAGGAACGCUUGGGAAUCUGCCCUUCAGCGGGGGACAACACGGGGAAACUCGUGCUAAUACCGCAUACGCUCCACGGAGGAAAGCCGGGGACCGCAAGGCCUGGCACUGAAGGAUGAGCCCAAGUCGGAUUAGCUAGUUGGCGGGGUAACGGCCCACCAAGGCGACGAUCCGUAGCUGGUCUGAGAGGACGGCCAGCCACACUGGGGCUGGAAAACGGCCCAGCCUCCUACGGGAGGCAGCAGUGGGGAAUAUUGAACAAGGGGGGAACCCCUGUUCCAGCGACGCCGCGUGGUGUAAGAAGGCCUGCGGGUGGUAAAGCCCUUUCGGUAGGACGAAAGCUCUCGACCUAACACGUCGGGAGGUUGACUUAACCUACAAAAGAAGCACCGGCUAACUCUGUGCCAGCAGCCGCCGUAAUAC
rnacentral:rRNA from 1 species